GGGGUUGUGGCUCAGUGGCAGAGCACUCACCUGGCAUGUGUGAGGCACCUAGUUCGAUUCUCAGCACCA
rnacentral:tRNA from 1 species